GAUGAAGAACGCAGCGAAAUGCGAUAAGUAAUGUGAAUUGCAGAUUUCAGUGAAUCAUCGAAUCUUUGAACGCACCUUGCGCUCCUUGGUAUUCCGAGGAGCAUGCCUGUUUGAGUGUCAUUAAAUUCUCAACUCUCCAACUGUUGUCAUGACUGGUGGUAGAGCUUGGACGUGAGGGUUCUGCCGGCUCCUUGUUGAGUCUGGCUCCCUUGAAAAUGAUUAGCGCAGCUUUGCACUGUCCGCUUCAGGUGUGAUAAUUUAUCUACGCCCGACUAGCGACGCGCAUAAAUGGCUUUGUGCUUCUAACCGUCUCGAAAGAGACAAUACCUUUUGAACUUGACCUCAAAUCAGGUAGGACUACCCGCUGAACUUAAGCAUAUCAAUAAGCGGAGGA
rnacentral:misc_RNA from 1 species